GAAACGCUCUAGUUUAUUUAUAUAGCCCCUCCACCCUCGGCUCUUCCCACCAGUCCCCAAAUUCCCUAGAAAUCCAGCUAAGGCGUGGGGAAGAGGAGAAAGCAGUUUUGGAGGGGAGGGAGUUAUUUAUUUUUGUUUUGUUUGGGGAUUGUUUUGCUUUGUUGAUUUUUUUUCUUUGCAUACAAAAAUAAGUGAAGAAGAUUUUGCAAGGUGAGGCCGCACCGUCGAGGCCGGAGGCGGCUCGAGAGCAGCGGGGGCCGCAGGCAGAUUCCUCAGGACAGAUAUCUUCUGCAAGUCCUUUCAGAGGAGAUCUACCAGUGAGAUGUCCACAAUAGCAGAUUGAAAAGGAUGAUAAAAUAAAAUGGCAAGGACUAUGUGGAACCAAACAGCAACUACUGGCUGUCUUCUUGUAGAAAACCCUUGCACUGCUCAAGCAUCUCUACUCUAUUCCUCCCUUUUCUUCAUGCCCCCUAAGGUGGAGGGAGGAGAGGGAAGUAUCAAAACUACAGGCCUAUGUAAACUCUGCAGCAUCAGAAAGAGCGUAGCACAGCCCCUGUUCUGGACAGAAGGACAGACGUCCGAGGGACAUGGGCAUCUCAUCUCAGUCAUGCAUGUCACUACUCCUUUAACUUUGCUAAGGACUUCUCUCUCGCCUCUGUUGUGCUCUGCUGUACAGCUUGGCCACCAUCCAUAUGAUGGAGCAAUGUAGCCAAGCUGUGGGGUGACCAAGGCUUGCAUCACUGCCCUGACCCAGAUUGCAUCUGCAGUCAUCUGGAACUGACUACACGCCUGAGCUGAUAAAAGAGGCUGUGGAAAUUCAGAUCUCUGGGGCCUUGCAAGAUGUUUGUGCCAUAUCCACCUGUCCUCUGGAAGACAAAAGAGUGAGGAUCAGCAGUGUAUAAUUUAUUCUGCAUAAACUGAACAGAUGAGAACUGCCUUGACAGCUACUAGAAGAAAAUAGUGUGAUAUGACCACAGAAAGCACAUGUUCUAUCUAACAAUUUCACUAUUGAUCCCAACGAGGAGUGGCACUCAACCUCCUUCUGAUUACCUCUGUUCUUUUCUUUUGCUCUAACAGUAUAUUUUCUUUCCAACACACAAGUGUUUAUGCAAAAAUACCAAGAUUCUUUAUGCAGAUUAAAAUAGGUUUACAAAUUAAGGAAAGGUUGGUAUGGAACAAGAGGAAAAUUAUCCCAGCAUUUUGCAUUUUUUUGUAAUCCAAGUCCUGUCUUUGGAGGGUGUUAUAACAACUACACACUUGGUGAGGCCUAAGAGGAUUUUCCUUGUGAAAUGACUGAAGGAGUUAGCCCUAGAAUAUCACCCUGCUCUAAAAGAGGUGUUCAGUAAGCAAUAGGUGGGCUCUCUUGGGAAAAAUGCAGAAGAAAGCUUGGUGAGAGCUGGAUCCUCUGCAGUGUCACCUCUCAUGAGUGACUGACAAAAGAAAAAAAAUAAAAAAAUAGGUGAACUAGUUCACUGUGGGGAUGGAAGGAUGGAUGCUUCCUGUUGUGGAAUAGGACGAAAUCCUGUGACAUGUUCUCUCCUAUUAGGUCUGAUACCAAUGCUUAUGAUAAAGAUUAAUUUCUAAAAAAACAACUGUAAACCUAUAGGUCAGCCAAUAAGACACUGACUUGACUAAUUUUUCAUUGCAAAGAGUAUGAUAGUUUCAUGCCUUUAAUUAACAUCAGUGCAGACAGUGUGUUGUUGAAUACAAUUAAAUUUGAAUCCUACUAUGAAUUUGUUUUCCACAAGUAGAUUAUGAACAGAAGCCUUUGAUUUCUAUUACUUAUGUAUUUUUGAGUGAAAAGCUAUUUCGUGUAUAUAUAUUUAAUAACAGGAAAUGUAGCAAACAUUUAUUUUUAUUAAACUAAUAAAUAAAAGGGAUAAACCUA